GGCCAGUUCGCAGGCUACACAUGCAAGUCGAGCGGAAACGACACUAACAAUCCUUCGGGUGCGUUAAUGGGCGUCGAGCGGCGGACGGGUGAGUAAUGCCUAGGAAAUUGCCUUGAUGUGGGGGAUAACCAUUGGAAACGAUGGCUAAUACCGCAUGAUGCCUACGGGCCAAAGAGGGGGACCUUCGGGCCUCUCGCGUCAAGAUAUGCCUAGGUGGGAUUAGCUAGUUGGUGAGGUAAUGGCUCACCAAGGCGACGAUCCCUAGCUGGUCUGAGAGGAUGAUCAGCCACACUGGAACUGAGACACGGUCCAGACUCCUACGGGAGGCAGCAGUGGGGAAUAUUGCACAAUGGGCGAAAGCCUGAUGCAGCCAUGCCGCGUGUAUGAAGAAGGCCUUCGGGAUGUAAAGUACUUUGA
rnacentral:rRNA from 1 species